AACCACAAAGCCCAGUCGGUACAGCGCAAGGCUGUUAACCUUGUGGUUGUUGGUUCGAGCCCCACGGUGGGUG
rnacentral:tRNA from 1 species